rnacentral:rRNA from 1 species
AUGGCUUUGGCAAUCCCAGAUGCUUUCAAGAACACGGUACACAAGCUGUGCUACUGGAACAUUAUGAAGAAGUACAGGGAACACCUCGCAUACCCGUACAACCUACAUGAAGACUUUAAGGAUGAAUUCACAUCAAUCCUCAACUGGCCCCUCAUGCCAACUGAGUUUUAG